GACGAACGCUGGCGGCGUGCUUAACACAUGCAAGUCGAACGGAAAGGCCCUGCUUUUGUGGGGUGCUCGAGUGGCGAACGGGUGAGUAACACGUGAGUAACCUGCCCUUGACUUUGGGAUAACUUCAGGAAACUGGGGCUAAUACCGGAUAGGAGCUCCUGCUGCAUGGUGGGGGUUGGAAAGUUUCGGCGGUUGGGGAUGGACUCGCGGCUUAUCAGCUUGUUGGUGGGGUAGUGGCUUACCAAGGCUUUGACGGGUAGCCGGCCUGAGAGGGUGACCGGCCACAUUGGGACUGAGAUACGGCCCAGACUACUACGGGCGGCAGCAGUGGGGAAUAUUGCACAAUGGGCGGAAGCCUGAUGCAGCAACGCCGCGUGCGGGAUGACGGCCUUCGGGUUGUAAACCGCUUUCGCCUGUGACGAAGCGUGAGUGACGGUAAUGGGUAAAGAAGCACCGGCUAACUACGUG
rnacentral:rRNA from 1 species